rnacentral:rRNA from 1 species
UACGGAGGUGGCAAGCGUUGUUCGGAAUUACUGGGCGUAAAGGGCGCGUAGGCGGGGAGGUAAGUCGGCUGUGAAAGUCCAGGGCUCAACCCUGGGAUGCCGGUCGAUACUGCCGGACUAGAGUUCGGAAGAGGCGAGUGGAAUUCCCGGUGUAGCGGUGAAAUGCGCAGAUAUCGGGAGGAACACCUAUGGCGAAGGCAGCUCGCUGGGACGUUACUGACGCUGAGACGCGAAAGCGUGGGGGAGCAAACAGG